rnacentral:sRNA from 1 species
ACCGGUUCCUGGUGAUGGACUUCGUCCUCAUGUUGCUGGACACGCUUUUUGGGGAACUGGUGUGGAGGGCCCUGUGUCUCCACCCUUCAGAGGAAGACUCAGGAAAUAGAACUGAACUCAUUUUUAGAUUGUAAAGGAAAACAGGUUUCAAAGUGAUGUGUAUGGCCAGGCGUGGUGGCUUAUGCCUGUACUCCCAGCACUUUGGGAGGCUGAGGAUUAUCUCCGAGAAGAAGCUGAAGAGGAGGCGGAAGCCGGAGUUUGACAUUGCCCGGAACGUCCUGGAGCUGAUUUAUGGGCAGACUCUGACCUGGCUGGGGGUGCUCUUCUCGCCCCUCCUCCCCGCCGUGCAGAUCAUCAAGCUGCUGCUCGUCUUCUAUGUCAAGAAG